GACGAACGCUGGCGGCGUGCCUAAUACAUGCAAGUCGAACGCAGUGGGGACGGGUGAGUAACACGUGGGUAACCUCCCAUCAGAGGGGAUAACACUUGGAAACAGGUGCUAAACCGAUACUGAUGGAUGGCCCCUCGGUGCAUUAGCUAGUUGGUGAGGUAACGGCUCACCAAGGCCACGAGGCAUAGCCGACCUGCGAGGGGUAGGGGCCAAACUGGGACUGAGACACGGCCGAGACGCAUACGGGAGGCAGCAGUAGGGAAUCGUCGGCAAUGGACGAAAGUCUGACCGAGCAACGCCGCGUGAGUGAAGAAGGUUGUCGGAUCGUAAAACUCUGUUGUUAGAGAAGCGGUAUCUAACCAGAAAGCCACGGCUAACUACGUGCCAGCAGCCGCGGUAAUGC
rnacentral:rRNA from 1 species